AAAGUGGAUCAUUGAAAGUCUCGAAUGAGCUAUAGCCUAUCUUCACAAUAAUGAUAUUGUAUAGAGAUUUGAAACUGGAAAACAUAUUGGUUAAAAUCAACCUUAUUGAUGAUAACAAUGAAAUAAACUCAAAC